rnacentral:rRNA from 1 species
GAUGAACGCUGGCGGCGUGCCUAAUACAUGCAAGUCGAGCGAACAGACGAGGAGCUUGCUCCUCUGACGUUAGCGGCGGACGGGUGAGUAACACGUGGAUAACCUACCUAUAAGACUGGGAUAACUUCGGGAAACCGGAGCUAAUACCGGAUAAUAUAUUGAACCGCAUGGUUCAAUAGUGAAAGACGGUUUUGCUGUCACUUAUAGAUGGAUCCGCGCCGCAUUAGCUAGUUGGUAAGGUAACAGCUUACCAAGGCAACGAUGCAUAGCCGACCUGAGAGGGUGAUCGGCCACACUGGAACUGAGACACGGUCCAGACUCCUACGGGAGGCAGCAGUAGGGAAUCUUCCGCAAUGGGCGAAAGCCUGACGGAGCAACGCCGCGUGAGUGAUGAAGGUCUUCGGAUCGUAAAACUCUGUUAUUAGGGAAGAACAAAUGUGUAAGUAACUAUGCACGUCUUGACGGUACCUAAUCAGAAAGCCACGGCUAACUACGUG